rnacentral:rRNA from 1 species
UACGAGGGGUCCUAGCGUUGUUCGGAAUUACUGGGCGUAAAGGGUGCGUAGGCGGUUUGCUAAGUCAGGUGUGAAAUCCCCGAGCUCAACUUGGGAACUGCAUCUGAUACUGGCAGGCUAGAGAUCGGAAGAGGUGAGUGGAAUUCCUAGUGUAGAGGUGAAAUUCGUAGAUAUUAGGAAGAACAUCAGCGGCGAAGGCGGCUCACUGGUCCGAUACUGACGCUAAGGCACGAAAGCGUGGGGAGCAAACAGG